rnacentral:rRNA from 1 species
AUUGAACGCUGGCGGCAUGCCUUACACAUGCAAGUCGAACGGCAGCAUGGGUGCUUGCACCUGAUGGCGAGUGGGCGAACGGGUGAGUAAUGCAUCGGAACGUACCCGGAAGUGGGGGAUAACGUAGCGAAAGUUACGCUAAUACCGCAUAUUCUGUGAGCAGGAAAAGCGGGGGGAUCGCAAGACCUCGCGCUUCCGGAGCGGCCGAUGUCGGAUUAGCUAGUUGGCGGGGUAAAGGCCCACCAAGGCAACGAUCCGUAGCGGGUCUGAGAGGAUGAUCCGCCACACUGGGACUGAGACACGGCCCAGACUCCUACGGGAGGCAGCAGUGGGGAAUUUUGGACAAUGGGCGCAAGCCUGAUCCAGCCAUGCCGCGUGAGUGAAGAAGGCCUUCGGGUUGUAAAGCUCUUUCGGCUGGGAAGAAAUCGCAUCUCCUAAUACGGGGUGUGGAUGACGGUACCAGCAUAAGAAGCACCGGCUAACUACGUG